CCUACGGGAGGCAGCAGUGAGGAAUAUUGGUCAAUGGACGAGAGUCUGAACCAGCCAAGUCGCGUGAGGGAGUACUGCCCUAUGGGUUGUAAACCUCUUUUGUCGGGGAGCAAAAGCCGGACGUGUCCGGCUGUGAGAGUACCCGAAGAAAAAGCAUCGGCUAACUCCGUGCCAGCAGCCGCGGUAAUACGGAGGAUGCGAGCGUUAUCCGGAUUUAUUGGGUUUAAAGGGUGCGUAGGCUGUGAGGUAAGUCAGCGGUGAAAUGCCCCCGCUCAACGGGGUGAAGUGCCAUUGAUACUGCCUUGCUGGAAUGCGGAUGCCGUGGGAGGAAUGUGUGGUGUAGCGGUGAAAUGCAUAGAUAUCACACAGAACACCGAUUGCGAAGGCAUCUCACGAAUCCGCGAUUGACGCUGAUGCACGAAAGCGUGGGUAUCAAACAGGAUUAGAUACCCUAGUAGUC
rnacentral:rRNA from 1 species